CCCCCAUAGAGUUAAGAGAGAGGGAAGGGAGAAAGGUGUUUAUGGAGAGUCAUAAACCUUACCCGCAGGCCAACGUUAUGACAGGGGCUAGAAGGGAAAAGAGAGAGGCUAGAGAGGAAGAGAGAGGGGCUAGAGAGGAAGAGAGAGAGGCUAGAGAGGAUGAGAGAGGGGCUAGAGAGGAAGAGAGAGGGACUAGAGAGGAAGAGAGAGGGGCUAGAGAGGAAGAGAGAGGGGCUAGAGGGGGCUAGAGAGGAAGAGAGAGGGACUAGAGAGGAAGAGAGAGGGCUAGAGAGGAAGACAGAGGGGCUAGAGAGGGGCUAGAGAGGAAGAGAGGGGACUAGAGAGGAAGAGAGAGGGACUAGAGAGGAAGAGAGAGGGACUAGAGAGGAAGAGAGAGGGGCUAGAGAGGAAGAGAGAGGGGCUAGAGCGGAAGAGAGAGGGACUAGAGAGGACUAGAGAGGGACUAGAGAGGAAGAGAGAGGGACUAGAGGGGACUACAGAGGGACUAGAGAGGAAGAGAGAGGGGCUAGAGAGGAAGAGAGAGGGGCUAGAGAGGAAGAGAGAGGGACUAGAGAGGAGGAGAGAGGAAGAGAGAGGAAGAGAGAGUUGCUAGAGAGUGGAUAGUGUUCUCACCCCUGUGUAGUAGUUAGCGGGACACUUCCUGUACCCAAUAAACAGAGCCUAGCCUGCUCCUAUACCUGAAUGCGU
ensembl:lncRNA